AGUUCUCCUGGAUGAAAGUCACUAUAUUAGUGCAGCACGUCAGAUAAGCUCCGUUUCGUGAUGAUUUCGCAAGUGAAAUGAGAGUGGAUAUGAUCCUGUCUGCGAUUUUCCUCUGCUUGGUAUUUCCAGCACAAAAUCAUGCGACUAUGACCACGAAAGCGGCGGGACUUCAAAAAUGUACAACAGGAGACUGCUCUAUCCACAAUUCGAAAAUCAAGAAUUUCCAAACUUCUGCAUUGGCAGAGGAUUUUUCAUCAGUUUUUGACGCAAAUGCCCUUAUAUCUUUUGUCUCAAACAAUCUCGAGCUGGGAGAUAUCGGUUUCAGGUGCGGCCACCUU